GCAGUAAAUAUUACUGCAUCUAUACUGUGAGAAUCAGUAUCAACUUUGUGGGGCUUAUAUUUAGACAAUGUAUAAUAAUAGUUGCAAAUGUUAUUAUAUAAUCUAAUAUUAGUGCAGAUGAAAUCAAAG
rnacentral:ribozyme from 1 species